GAGAAAACAAUGCAUUUAUUUUCAUUUCAAUGGCGUUGUCAGUAUGCAAAAUGGUAAUUUCUGUUGCAUCCUACCAAAUGCACUGUUUGGUGUGGGGUGACCUCGCAGGAAGUUAUCGGGCAAAAUUGUAAAUACAAGAGUUUCAAAGAUAACUAAUGUAAUCAAUGUAAUGUAAUCAAUGUAAUGUAAUGUAACUAAUGUAAUGUUCCAACUUUCUCUUUGUCUUAUCUUCCUAGCACUGUUAGCUCUCCCUCUCAUGAUCUCAUCUUCAGUAGUGCUUCUGCCAUGAUAACAUUAGCUGUCUAUAAAAUAUUGCUAAUUUUAUGAAAUGUCAGCUACUCCAUUACCUCUCAGCAAACAGUGUGCACAUGUGUAAAUCAUCAAAAUACUGAUAGACUCCAAACAUGUCAGCUACUCCUGACUCCCUAAUAACUCUCAGCAUACAGUGUACACAGAGUUAAAGCAGCAGGAUACUGAUAUACUCCUUAUUACCUUUGCAGCUGGCGAUAUAACUAAUCUGCAGUGGUAGCAUGGAGCCAAGAAGUAGCUGACAUGGUUAACAGAAGAAGAAUCAUAUCAGUCCUCACAGUCAAAGCCCCAGUCCUGCAGUUUUAAGCUUCACAACUUUUCAAGUACUUGGCACAGCAUGGGUGUCUCAGG